rnacentral:rRNA from 1 species
AUGAUUCAUUGGAGGUGUUGGGAUUGGCUGUCGACUCCCAAGUCCCUUGGUGGUAUGGGGUUCCGUGAUAUGAAAAUUUAAAAUCUAGCCAUGCUAGGAAAGCAGGGGUGGCGGUUGCUCACAAAUCCAAAUUCCUUAUGUGUGCGUGUUUUGAAAGGACGCUACUUUCCUUAUACUGACUUUUGGAACGCCCCAAUUCCAAGAUCGGCCUCUGCAACUUGGAGAGGCAUCCUAGCUGGUCGUAAGUUACUGAAACAUGGUAUUCAAUGGGGUAUAUGUGAUGGUAAGCAAGUUCAUAUUUUAUCAGAUCACUGGAUUCCUUCAUGUCAUUCGCAUAUUCUUCAAACAGUUUCAUCCAUCCCUGCAAAUGCUAAAGUACAUUGUCUUCUUGAUAAGACAUGCGGUACCUGGAAUGAGAAGAUGGUGCGAGCCUUUUUUGAAGAAAACAUUGCCUUGGAGAUUCUGCACAUACCAAUUUGUAGACAUGUUGAAAAUGAUUUUGUGAGAUAG